rnacentral:rRNA from 1 species
CCUACGGGAGGCUGCAGUAGGGAAUAUUGCUCAAUGGGGGAAACCCUGAAGCAGCAACGCCGCGUGGAGGAUGAAGGUCUUCGGAUUGUAAACUCCUUUUGUUAGAGAAGAUAAUGACGGUAUCUAACGAAUAAGCACCGGCUAAUUCCGUGCCAGCAGCCGCGGUAAUACGGAGGGCGCAAGCGUUACUCGGAACCACUGGGCGGAAAGAUCGCGUAGGCGGGAUAGCAAGUCAGAUGCGGAAUCCUAUGGCUUAACCAUAGAACUGCAUUUGAAACUGGUAUUCUAGAGUAUGGGAGAGGUAGGUGGAAUUCUUGGUGUAGGGGUAAAAUCCGUAGAGAUAAAGAAGAAUACUCAUUGCGAAGGCGGCCUGCUAGAACGUAACUGACGCUGAUGCGCGAAAGCGUGGGGAGCAAACAGGAUUAGAUACCCCUGUAGUC